UCUGUGUGUGUGUGUGUGUGUGUGUGUGUGUGUGUGUGUGUGUGUGUGUGUGUGUGUGUGUGUGUGUGUCUUACUGUCAUAACAGUAAGUCUGUGUGUGUGUGUGUGUGUGUGUGUGUGUGUGUAUGUACCGCUAACUCCCACCUUUGUCUGCUCCUCCUGCUCCCAUCUUUCACAGGGCCAGGCCUUUGAAGAAGCCUAAUCCGGGUUAUUUGCUUUCCCAUGCUUGUGUCAGGUCCCGCUCCGAAUUGACUGUGGAAAAUACACUCUAGUCUGCCGGCCGCUCCCUCUGUCCCUGAUUUAUCCGAAUAGGAUGUGGCCGAUGGGCGUAUAUAAAGCAGGCUGAAUGCCCCCAACCAGCCAUGGGGCCCUCGCUUGGUCCCACACCUUGAGCAGGCAGCCGUGAAAUGGGGCCCUGUCUGGGAACUGUUGGCAAGCCUGGUGGAAACAGCAAAAGCGUGGUCCUCGUUAGCUGUGAUGACGCUAGCUAGCUUGUUGUCUCUGGGGAGCAUGCUUGGCUGCUGCUGCUGCUACUGCCAGGAGGCUGGGAGAGGAAAGGUGAAACAUAACCAGCUCUGGGGCCAAGGACUGAAGCAGAGGCGGUUUGCUUAGCCUUUUAUGGCUUAUCACCAGCUACGACAACAUCCACUGACCCCGAGGUCACCCAACCCACUGACCUGUUCUGACCAGGGAGGCCUGACCACAUACUUCUCCUGACCUCCAGCGCGUCUCUCCCCUCCCAGCCCCUUUCUCCUCCUCUGUUGGGAA